rnacentral:RNase_MRP_RNA from 1 species
AGUUGUUGGUAAAGACUCGCUUCGAAGAUCGUGAGAUGGCAUUUCGCUCAAAUCACGAAUUCUUCGUGGAAAGUCCUCGGUCAUUUCGGUGUUUCGGUAGCCAGAAGUACCCGAGCAAUCAUUGAAACUUCUCGUGAAGUCAAUCGAAUCGAAAGAUACAAGAGCUUUUGUCUGAGAUGGAUUAGAUUCCUGAGAUAGAAUGUUUCUCUUUUCUUCGAUUCUCUUGACUUUGAGGCAAAUAUUUGCGUUUGACUGAAAUCAUCCUACAGUAAUGCGAGUAACGCGGUCAGAAUACGCGUUAACCAAACGAGGCUUAUUCUGCCAAUAAC